GUCUCCUGAAUAUAAAACUUCCAAGAAGUACAUCAUAUAUGAAUAUCCUGUAUCCUCGCAUUUGAUGUAAUGAACUGGCGAUAGAAUGAAAUCAGUCAGUGUUAAAAAUGUAUGUGUAAAAGCGACUUUAAGAUGAUGGAGAUUUGUACACUGAACAUAAAACUUCCAAAAUUUGGGGCA